rnacentral:rRNA from 1 species
ACGGGGGGUGCAAGCGUUGUUCGGAAUUAUUGGGCGUAAAGCGCGUGUAGGCGGUUUGUUAAGUCUGAUGUGAAAGCCCUGGGCUCAACCCAGGAAGUGCAUUGGAUACUGGCAGACUUGAAUACGGGAGAGGGUAGUGGAAUUCCUGGUGUAGGAGUGAAAGCCGUGGAUAUCAGGAGGAACACCGGUGGCGUAGGCGGCUGCCUGGACCGAUAUUGACGCUGAGACGCGAAAGCGUGUGUAGCAAACAG